CCAGGGACACCUUUCACUAGACCAGAUUGCUCAAAGCCCUGCCCAUCUGGCCUUGAACAUUUCCAGGCAUGGGACAUCUACAAUUUCCCUUAGCAACCUGUACCAGUGCCUCACCAUCCUCACAGUAAAGAAUUUAUUCCUGCUAUCUAAUCUAAACCUACCCUUUUUCAGCCUAAAUCUAUUCCUCCUAUCACUACCUGUCCUUGUAAAAAGUCCCUCUCCAGCUUUUUUGCAGGCCUCCUUUAAGUACUUGGAUAUUAUCUUACACAAUCCUUGUUUGACUGUAGCUGUAAGGAAGCUGCACAUCGUGAUUGCGAUAGUUUUAGCCUAGGCCUUCCUUGGUGACCAGUUUGUAACCGAGGAAGUGGCCAUAUUACCCAGUAUUCCCUAUGGUUUUUACAUAGGCCAGGGUUAUAAAGAAGGGAGGAGAGGCCUUCACUCUCUUGCCUUCUGGUGGCUCUGAAGGUGUAGGUUCCCUGCUGUCGGUUCUGCUGUGUGGGGGAGUGAGGCCUAGCGAGGCCUUGUAGACCUUGGGAGGUGGAGGGUGACGGCGGUCAGCCAGCGCGACUUCUGCUGUCCCAAGGAGAGUACGCAAUCUCGGCUCAUUUUCUCUGAGCAAUACAAGUUCACGGACGAGCUACCUAGCCAGCCCUCCUCUCCCGUCAUGGACCUCCCAGGCUGCUGCGCGCCGGCCGCCCUCUGAGAAGGCUCCUUCGCCCCGCGCGGAGGAGGAGAAGGGGAGGAAGGCGCGGUCCCAGCCGCCGCUGCCCAGCCGCCGUCCCGCAGAGCGCUGGCCGCGGGGCGCCGCGGCGGCAGCAGGCGCGCA